GAUGAAGAACGCAGCGAAAUGCGAUAAGUAAUGCGAAUUGCAGAAUUUCCGUGAGUCAUCGAAUCUUUGAACGCACAUUGCGCCCACUGGUAUUCCGGUGGGCAUGCCUGUUCGAGCGUCAUUAUCCUCCCUCAAACCCCGGGUUUGGUGUUGGACCCAAGUUGUGUGAACAACAGGUCUCAAAGACAAUGACGGCGUCCGUGGGACCCUCGGUGCAACGAGCUUUUAGGAGCACGCAUCGAGUUGCAAGGACCUUCCGGGCCGGUCUCCUUUACCAUUUUACAAGGUUGACCUCGGAUCAGGUAGGAAUACCCGCUGAACUUAAGCAUAUCAAUAAGCGGAGGA
rnacentral:misc_RNA from 1 species